ACAAACAGAACCCUGCUUCUUCUAUUCAGAGAAUUCAAUAUACCAUUUUGUUUUCAGUGAAUAUUCAAUGCAUUAACUUUGGGUUGAAUUGUUGCCUGCCCCAAAUAAAUUCCCCGUAACUUCAUGGUUCAAGAAACUAUCUUAGUCCAUGGAUGUGUUGUGGUCUUUAGAAAGUUCAGGUUAAAUAUCAACAAAACUAUGACACCGUACCUUUAAAUCUGAAAGAGUUGUAAGAUUGUUGUCUUUAUUCCACUGAUAAUCUUGAUUUCAAGCCAUGCUUCUAAUAUGGUCCUGUCUUUUUUGAGAAAUAUAGGCUAAGUGUCACUUGUUAUUGGACUGAAAAUGGCAACAUAUGGAAACCUUUACUUCAUUCAAAGUAAUUUUUUAAAAGUAUGACCUCCUUUCUCAGAAUAUGCAUAUCCAUCAAAAGAGGGUUCACCCCAUUGGCUGCCGCACUAUGUUUACCAAGUUUCCUAAUCUUCAGAGAUGAUUACAUUUGGGAAAGGAUGUGAAUGUCUUUUUAUUAAACGUGAGAGCAAUUGUGGGAUGCGAUUAUCCCAUUGAAAGGUAGCGACUAUUCUAUAUAAAUAGGUAUGUGAGUCUACACUUUUAAAAACGCUGGGCAAAAUGGUAUUGGGUAAACUCCUUUUGUGAAUUGUUGGUGCAUUAUUAGUCAACAAUUUAGCAAAUUUUGGGGUUGGGUAGGCCAAAAAAGUGACCAACGUUGGAUAACCUUUCAGGUACAAUAGUUGGAUAAAAAUUCCUUAAUUGAUAGGUUUUAUUUUUACGCUUGUUCUGCCCACCAAGUGUUGGGGAGAAAUUCGAGUAACAAACCCAACAGAUUAGUAUUAUUCGAUUGAACUGGAUGACGGGGCCUAGUUGCUGGGAACUUUUUCAUCAUGCACACGCGCAUUGGUGGUCUAAUCUAUUAUGCAUGCACAAUAUCUGUGGCGCAUGGCUAGUGUUGCAUACACAUCACGACAAUGGCGGCGGACCACGACCUCCUACAGUUGUUAGAUAAAUGGGGUUUGAGCCCCUUGAUGGACGUGUUCGUAGAUAAUGACAUCGACAUGGUGGCACUUGAGUUAUUGACAGAGGCAGACAUUGAGUAACUCAUUCCCAAAAUUGGUUUACGGGUCAAGUUUGUUGACAAAUGGAGGAAACAUAGCAAAAGUCAUCUUUGGCCUUACUCAUUUUGCCUGCCAUCUUUGAGGGGAGCUCCAAGAAGGGAAACUGCUGGGGGUAAAGGCACCAAGAGAGAUGUUGUUGGAAUGUUCAUUGACAGACAGCGGGUAAGUACAUGCCACAUUUUAAACCAGGAAUACUUGCUUCAGAUUUCUUCAUAUCUCUGUUACUUGGGUUUUCUAUGAGAUUUCUGUAUCUGCUCCAUGUGUAUGGCUUCAUCUUUUCUCUUGAACUAGAACGGCAAAGCCCCCCCUGGCUCGCUACUACAUAUAAAUCAAAACUGCUGUAUAUAGGCCUACUG